GGGAAUUCGAUUUUCCGGUUGAUCCUGCCGGACCCCACUGCUAUCGGGAUGGGACUAAGACAUGCUAGUUGAGCGUUUUCAAGCCAUGUUGAAAACGCAGCGCACAGCUCAGUAACACGUGGCUAACCUGCCCUUGGGACAAGAACAAUCCCGGGAAACUGGGGCUAAUACUUGAUAGAUGAGAAUUACUGGAAUGUAUUCUCGUUAAAAAGACUUGUAGAUCAUGCUUCUAUAAGUCGCCCAAGGAGGGGGCCGCGACCGAUCAGGUUGUUGGUGAGGUAAUGGCUCACCAAGCCUUUUACCGGUACGGGCCGUGAGAGCGGUAGCCCGGAGAUGGGCACUGAGAUAAGAGCCCAGGCCCUACGGGGCGCAGCAGUCGCGAAAACUCCGCAAUAUACGAAAGUGUGACGGGGCUAUCCCGAGUGCUAUCCGCUGAGGAUAGCUUUUACCCAGUAUAUAAAGCUGGGAGAAUAAGGAGAGGGCAAGUCUGGUGUCAGCCGCCGCGGUAAUACCAGCUCUCCGAGUGGUGGGGAUAAUUAUUGGGCUUAAAGCAUUCGUAGCUGGCCUGAUAAGUCCUUUGUUAAAUCCAGCGAUUCAAUCGUUGGGCUGCAAGGAAUACUGUCUGGCUAGGGGACGGGAGAGGUCGACGGUAUUCCCUGGGUAGGAGUGAAAUCCUAUAAUCCAGGGAAGACCACCAGUGGCGAAGGCUGUCGACUAGAACGCGCCCGACGGUGAGGGAUGAAAGCUGGGGGAGCGAACCGGAUUAGAUACCCGGGUAGUCCCAGCUGUAAACGAUGCAC
rnacentral:rRNA from 1 species